AUGCAGUACAUGGGGUAUAGGGGGCAGGGUGUUCUUCUCGAGCACGUCUCCCUUGUGCGGCUUAUAGACGCAACACAUAUCUGUGGGCUCCCUGAGCAAGCCGAUGGAUAUCGACGACGACGGGGCCAGCCAUGGCCAUGGUUGCGGGGGGUGUGCGACGAGGUGGCUCGGUCGGGCUCGUCUGGUGAUGGUGGACUGCAAGCAGCGGCUUGGGUCAUAGGACCCCAUGCUCGCCGCGGUGUUCGUAGCCGGCGGCCACCGAAAGUAGGAGGUGGAGGAUGCUUGACGGUGCGGGAGGUCAUCGGUGGACGCGCCGACGACUCGGACGGCGAGAAAGCAGUAGGUGGAUGA
rnacentral:rRNA from 1 species